UAUUUGUGCUUUCAGAGAUGAAACAGAGCUCGCCCUGCCCUCAAGGAGCUCCUUGUCUGGUUUGGAGGGUGGAGAACGGAAGAGUGGGCAGAAAGACAUUCCUGCAAAAGACUGAUGCAUGGAAACCAAGGCACACUCUCCCACUCAGGUGAAGAAUGGGACAGCUCCCUUAGCAGCCGACCAGCCACCAGCCCAGCUCCCCCAGUGCCUCUCCUUCACUCUCCCUUCUUAUUCCAAUAUCCCCACCCUCCAGCCCCACCCUAGCCCACUGGGGCAACGCCAGGUCCAUGCCCUCUUCCACCUUCAAAGGAACAAUUCUAAAAACCAGAGAGAAAGCCAUCUGGUCAGGCUGCUCAUCAGAAAUAACUGCCAAGUCUGAGAGGAGAGGCGCCCUGAAUUCCAUGGCAGGUCAUUACAGAGCCAGUGGCUGAGACUCUAGGAGACCCAGCCCCACUGGCUGCAGCCCCUUCGGAUGCAUCUGUGAGAGCAGCCUGGCCAUCACCCGCCGGCCUGGCCCGUGCUGUCAGCCGGCCAGAGCGUGUCUGAAUCGAGAAAAGCUGACUGGGGCUCGAUUCACACUGACUCAAGCCGCAAGGCGAGUUUAUGGUUCUUGAUUACACCCAGCAGGGAGGCCUUCUUAGUGAUGAGAGAGAAAAUAUUCAACAACCUGUCUUUGCAAUGUGCUGAUCUCUUGGAGAGAGAGAGAGAGUGUGUGUGUAGAGAAAGUGGAGGAGGG
rnacentral:lncRNA from 1 species